rnacentral:lncRNA from 1 species
ACUAACUGAAUUUUCUAAGUUACAUCUUUUGGGCGGCAAAAUGAUUAAUGCAAUCACUGAAAUCUUGGUUAUCUAGACAGCUCACUGCAUGUGGUCGAGAGCCGAAUGAAACGGAGACAGGGAGAACUAGUGUUGAAUCUUGACUUUAUAUCUGUAGAUUUGGGGCAAUAGUUGAUUUCCCUGGGCUUCGAAUUACUCAUCUAAAAUCUGCAUGUAUAGUAUUGAUACCUCUGUAAAUGUAGGAUAUCAUAAUUAAGAAUAAACCCACAAAGGCAAAGUGCCAUGGCCCCCAGAGUAGAGUGAAGAGUAGAUAUUCCUGUUAUUCUUACUAAUAGACUGGCAACAGACUUUCCAAAUACGCUCGGCUCCUACAGUCAGCACACCUUCAAGUAUAAUCAUUUUACAGCAACAAUGAUUGGUGACACGUAAGUGGACAGACAGGGAUAGAGUACAGGAGACAUGAAAGCAGAAGCAGCGGCCAUUUGAGGAAAGGAUGGCAAUUGGCAAAGGGGGACAGAGCCAUGGGGGAUGGGGCGAAAGGCAUGUGCAGAGGCUGGGGAGAUUCCCCAAAGUUUCAAGUACAUUACUGAUUUUGCAGAGGACUAAAGUUAUGUUCUCAGCACCCACAUUAGGCCAGCCACCUGUAACUCCAGCUCCAGGAGGAUCUGACGCCCUCUUCUGGCCUCUUUAAGCACUGCAUUCAUAUGCACAUACACACUCUCCCUACUACCUACACACACAUACACACACACACACACACACACACACACACACACACACACACACACAAAUAAAAAUAAAAUCAUUCAUUCUUUAAAGAGCAAAGUGUAAUGAUCUGUAUACAGGAACAGGCUGUAGUUAAACUCAUUACUUUAAGAUUUAAAUAAUUGUUAUGGUGGUGCUGGUUUAGUACUGAGGGUACAGGGUGAACAGGCAGGGGAAAAAUCAGUGAAGCACUGAAAAGUUUGUGGCUGUUGAUUUGUACCAGGUCCAAGGAUAACCGUGUACAGGAGCACC